GUCCAUUGUUGAAGGCAGUAAUGAAACUGAUUAUACAGUAUGGGUUUUGUUCAUUGUUGAAGGCAGAAAUGUAACUGAUUAUACAGUUAGGGUUUUGUUCAUUGUUGAAGGCAGUAAUGUAGCUGAUUAUACAGUAUGGGUUUUGUUCAUUGUUGAAGGCAGUAACAUAACUGAUUAUACAGUAUGGGUUUUGUUCUUUGUUGAAGGCAGUAACACAAAUGACUAUACAGUAUGGGUCUUGUUCAUUGUUGAAGGCAGUAAUGUAGCUGACUAUACAGUAUAGGUUUAAAUCAUUGUUGUAGGCAAUAAUUUCACUGAUGAUACAGUAUGAGUUUUGUCCAUUGUUGAAG
rnacentral:lncRNA from 1 species